AGAGUUUGAUCCUGGCUCAGGAUGAACGCUAGCUACAGGCUUAACACAUGCAAGUCGAGGGGAAACGGCAUUGAGUGCUUGCACUCUUUGGACGUCGACCGGCGCACGGGUGAGUAACGCGUAUCCAACCUUCCCAUUACUGUGGGAUAACCUGCCGAAAGGCAGACUAAUACCGCAUAGUCUUCGAUGACGGCAUCAGAUUUGAAGUAAAGAUUUAUCGGUAAUGGAUGGGGAUGCGUCUGAUUAGCUUGUUGGCGGGGUAACGGCCCACCAAGGCGACGAUCAGUAGGGGUUCUGAGAGGAAGGUCCCCCACAUUGGAACUGAGACACGGUCCAAACUCCUACGGGAGGCAGCAGUGAGGAAUAUUGGUCAAUGGACGUAAGUCUGAACCAGCCAAGUAGCGUGCAGGAUGACGGCCCUAUGGGUUGUAAACUGCUUUUAUGCGGGGAUAAAGUGGCCCACGUGUGGGUUUUUGCAGGUACCGCAUGAAUAAGGACCGGCUAAUUCCGUGCCAGCAGCCGCGGUAAUACGGAAGGUCCAGGCGUUAUCCGGAUUUAUUGGGUUUAAAGGGAGUGUAGGCGGUCUGUUAAGCGUGUUGUGAAAUUUAGGUGCUCAACAUUUAACUUGCAGCGCGAACUGGCGGACUUGAGUGCACGCAACGUAUGCGGAAUUCAUGGUGUAGCGGUGAAAUGCUUAGAUAUCAUGACGAACUCCGAUUGCGAAGGCAGCGUACGGGAGUGUUACUGACGCUUAAGCUCGAAGGUGCGGGUAUCGAACAGGAUUAGAUACCCUGGUAGUCCGCACGGUAAACGAUGGAUGCCCGCUGUUAGCGCCUGGCGUUAGCGGCUAAGCGAAAGCAUUAAGCAUCCCACCUGGGGAGUACGCCGGCAACGGUGAAACUCAAAGGAAUUGACGGGGGCCCG
rnacentral:rRNA from 1 species